rnacentral:rRNA from 1 species
ACAUUAAAGCUAGCCUAUCCACCUACCUCAAACCCAACAUUAUUAAUUACCUUACGUAUUUACACCUAACUAAAACAUUUUAUCAUUUUAGUAUGGGCGACAGAACAAAAACUCAGCGCAAUAGACCAUGUACCGCAAGGGAAAGCUGAAAGAGAAAUGAAACAAAUAAUUAAAGUAAUAAAAAGCAGAGAUUCCCCCUCGUACCUUUUGCAUCAUGAUUUAGCUAGAAAAACUAGACAAAGAGAUCUUUAGCCUAUCUUCCCGAAACUUAACGAGCUCUUCCGAAGCAGCACAACUUAAAGCCAACCCGUCUNUGUGGCAAAAGAGUGGGAAGACUUCCGAGUAGCGNCGACAAGCCUAUCGAGUUUAGUGAUAGCUGGUUGUCCAAGAAAAGAACUUCAAUUCUGNAUUAAUUCUUUCAUCACCAAAAAGUCUAUCAUACUAAGGUCAAACAUAAGAAUUAAUAGUUAUUCAGAAGAGGUACAGCCCUUCUGAACCAAGACACAACUUUCAAAGGAGGGAAAUGAUCACAUUUAUCAAGGUUCUUACCCCAGUGGGCCCAAAAGCAGCCACCUGUGAAGUAAGCGUCACAGCUCCAGUCUCACAAAAACCUAUAAUUCAGAUAUUCUUCUCAGCACCCCCUUGACUAUAUUGGACUAUUUUAUAAAAUUAUAAAAGAACUUAUGCUAAAAUGAGUAAUAAGAGGUUAAACCUCUCCCGACACAAGUGUACAUCAGAAAGAAUUAAUUCACUGAUAAUUAAACGAACCCAAACUGAGGUCAUUAUAUUCAUAUUUUACCUUAACUAGAAAAUCUUAUUAUAACAUUCGUUAAUCCUACACAGGAGUGUCUUAAGGAAAGAUUAAAAGAAAAUAAAGGAACUCGGCAAACACGAACUCCGCCUGUUUACCAAAAACAUCGCCUCUUGGAAACCCUAUAAGAGGUCCCGCCUGCCCUGUGACAAUGUUUAACGGCCGCGGUAUUCUGACCGUGCAAAGGUAGCGUAAUCACUUGUCUUUUAAAUGAAGACCCGUAUGAAAGGCAUCACGAGAGUUCAACUGUCUCUAUUUUCUAAUCAAUGAAAUUGAUCUACCCGUGCAGAAGCGGGUAUAACUACAUUAGACGAGAAGACCCUAUGGAGCUUCAAACACAUAAAUUAAUUAUGUAGGUUAACCAUUCUACGGAUAUAAACAAAAAUACAAUACUUUUAAUUUAACUGUCUUUGGUUGGGGUGACCAAGGGGAAAAAACUAUCCCCCUUAUCGACCGAGUGCUCUCAAGUACUUAAAAAUUAGAAUUACAAUUCUAAUUAAUAAAAUAUUUACCGAAAAAUGACCCAGGAUUUCCUGAUCAAUGAACCAAGUUACCCUAGGGAUAACAGCGCAAUCCUUUCUCAGAGUCCCUAUCGACGAAAGGGUUUACGACCUCGAUGUUGGAUCAGGACAUCCUAAUGAUGCAGCCGUCAUUAAGGGUUCGUUUGUUCAACGAUUA